CUACGGGUUGCUGCAGUGGGGAAUAUUGCGCAAUGGAGGAAACUCUGACGCAGCGACGCCGCGUGAGUGAUGAAGUAUUUCGGUAUGUAAAGCUCUAUCAGCAGGGAAGAUAAUGACGGUACCUGACUAAGAAGCACCGGCUAAAUACGUGCCAGCAGCCGCGGUAAUACGUAUGGUGCAAGCGUUAUCCGGAUUUACUGGGUGUAAAGGGAGCGUAGGUGGUAUGGCAAGCCAGAAGUGAAAACCCGAAGCUCAACUCCGCGGAUUGCUUUUGGAACUGUUGUACUAGAGUACAGGAGGGGUAAGCGGAAUUCCCAGUGUAGCGGUGAAAUGCUUAGAUAUUGGGAGGAACACCAGAGGCGAAGGCGGCUUACUGGACUGUAACUGACACUGAGGCUCGAAAGCGUGGGGAGCAAACAGGAUUAGAUACCCCUGUAGUC
rnacentral:rRNA from 1 species